AAGUCGUAACAAGGUUUCCGUAGGUGAACCUGCGGAAGGAUCAUUAAUGCUUAGCAUAAGCAGAAGCGUCUUUUGAUGCCCUGCUCAAUGCAUCGCCUUAUUCCAAACUCUCGAAGCUUUUUUUCUCUUGGAAAAAAGUCUUCGACGUCACAAGUAACUUGAGGACGUUUCUCUUUGGAGAGAUGUUCCUCUACUUUUAUUACCAUCAUUACCCUACUUAAACUUAUUAGACUGAUAUCACAAAACAUUUAUUUCUGAUAAAUGGAAAAAACAACUCUUAGCAAUGGAUAUCUAGGCUCUC
rnacentral:misc_RNA from 1 species